rnacentral:lncRNA from 1 species
AAUGGUAUUUCAUUAUACACAUAAAGUAAGAGAGAAAAACGUAACAAAACAAGAUAUCAAAGAUGAAUUUAAACAAUGGAUUGUGAAAGCCUUGUUGCUUGCUUCUGUUUUUAAAAAUAUUUUGCUAUUUUUUCUUGGCUGCUGCCGUUGCUACAGUUGUAGUCUGCACAGAAUGAAGCCUUAAUCACACAGUCAUGCUGAAACAUGUUUACAAAGGGUACAUCAGAAUUGGAAUUGGAGUCAUGUCAAGAUGUUCUCACUGGCAAAGACAGGAGGAGGUUAAAAUAGCUCCUUGUAGGGCAGUAACCUCGGGAGAAAAAGAACUAAUAGAAAAUAAAUGGCAA